AGUCUUAUAGUCAAUAAUGAUAUAAAAUUGCAAAUUUUAAGGAGAAAUAAAUUUAUUCUAAGGCUU
rnacentral:tRNA from 1 species